GCUAAAAAUGGCCCUGGGGAGACUUUGCUGAAGUUGCAUGGAGUUCGGGAGCCUAGGAGGGGUCUGCAAAUAACUGUCAAAAAGUUCGAAGGGACGGCGGAGAUGCUUUCAACCUAAGACUGCAAUCAUAAUUAAAACAUGAAUAGUAACAUUUUAA